GCUCGGUGGCAAGCCCUGUAGUACCAGCUAGCAGGCAGGAGGAUCACUUGACCCCAGGAGUUCUGGGCUGUAAAGCAUUAUGCUGAUGGGUGUCCACACCAAGUUCAGCAUCGAUAUGGUGACCUCCUAGGAGUGGGAGACCACCAGGUUGACUAAGGAAGGGUGAACUAGCCCAGGUCAGAAUGGAACAGAUUGAAACUCUGGUGCUGAUCAUGGUGGGAUUGGCCACACAAGCCUGACAACACCAGGACACCUUGUCUCUUUAGUUUUAUUUUUUUU
rnacentral:SRP_RNA from 1 species